AAGAUACUAGUAAAAUUCUAUAACGCUGCCUUGUCAAGGCAGAAUCGUGGGUUAAAGCCCCGCGUAUCUUG